rnacentral:rRNA from 1 species
CUCAUUUUGUAUAUAUAUAAGUUAUGAUAUGGGUUACUACUUGUAGUAUUGCCUGUACAUUCUUGUAUAUUUGAUUGCAAGAUGUUGUCGGCGUGCACUUCUCCCCUAGUAGGACGUCGCGACCCGUUGAGUGUCGGUCUACGGCCCAAGUGGUAGCCUUUAAUUUUUACGAAUUAAAGACCCUUGGUGUUUCCUGGCUGGCUACUCGGCGGUAUUCGUACGGUAUUAAGCCGCAUUUUUGCGUUCAUAUCCGUCGCAAGCGCGAUUAAUUUUUGGUAGUACGGACCUAGUGCCGUCGCCAUAAUUGAUCAGCUGUUGGUUGUACGGUAUUCUAGAACUGGCUUUCAUACCGGUCAGCGAUGCGUUCAGCUUUGGGUACUUUUCAGGACC